GGCCUAACACAUGCAAGUCGAACGGCAGCACGGGGGCAACCCUGGUGGCGAGUGGCGAACGGGUGAGUAAUGUAUCGGAACGUACCCCGUCGUGGGGGAUAACUCUCCGAAAGGAGGGCUAAUACCGCAUACGACCUGAGGGUGAAAGCGGGGGACCUGCAAGGGCCUCGCGCGAUGGGAGCGGCCGAUAUCGGAUUAGCUAGUUGGUGAGGUAAAGGCUCACCAAGGCGACGAUCCGUAGCGGGUCUGAGAGGACGACCCGCCACACUGGAACUGAGACACGGUCCAGACUCCUACGGGAGGCAGCAGUGGGGAAUUUUGGACAAUGGGGGAAACCCUGAUCCAGCCAUUCCGCGUGAGUGAAGAAGGCCUUCGGGUUGUAAAGCUCUUUCAGCAGGAACGAAACGGUAGGCUUUAAUACAGUCUGCUAAUGACGGUACCUGCAGAAGAAGCACCGGCUAACUACGUGCCAGCAGCCGCGGUAAUACGUAGGGUGCGAGCGUUAAUCGGAAUUACUGGGCGUAAAGCGUGCGCAGGCGGCGACAUAAGACAGAUGUGAAAUCCCCGGGCUCAACCUGGGAACUGCGUUUGUGACUGUGUUGCUAGAGUGUAGCAGAGGGGGGUGGAAUUCCACGUGUAGCAGCGAAAUGCGUAGAGAUGUGGAGGAACACCGAUGGCGAAGGCAGCCCCCUGGGUUAACACUGACGCUCAUGCACGAAAGCGUGGGGAGCAAACAGGAUUAGAUACCCUGGUAGUCCACGCCCUAAACGAUGCCAACUAGGUGUUGGGGGGAGGAGACUUCCUUAGUACCGUAGCUAACGCGUGAAGUUGGCCGCCUGGGGAGUACGGUCGCAAGAUUAAAACUCAAAGGAAUUGACGGGGACCCGCACAAGCGGUGGAUGAUGUGGAUUAAUUCGAUGCAACGCGAAAAACCUUACCUACCCUUGACAUGUCCGGAAUCCUGAAGAGAUUUGGGAGUGCUCGAAAGAGAACCGGAACACAGGUGCUGCAUGGCUGUCGUCAGCUCGUGUCGUGAGAUGUUGGGUUAAGUCCCGCAACGAGCGCAACCCUUAUCAUUAGUUGCCAUCAUUUAGUUGGGCACUCUAAUGAGACUGCCGGUGACAAACCGGAGGAAGGUGGGGAUGACGUCAAGUCCUCAUGGCCCUUAUGGGUAGGGCUUCACGCGUCAUACAAUGGUCGGUACAGAGGGUUGCCAACCCGCGAGGGGGAGCUAAUCUCACAAAGCCGAUCGUAGUCCGGAUCGCAGUCUGCAACUCGACUGCGUGAAGUCGGAAUCGCUAGUAAUCGUGGAUCAGCAUGUCACGGUGAAUACGUUCCCGGGCCUUGUACACACCGCCC
rnacentral:rRNA from 1 species